UGUGUAUGUUGGGGAGGGAUGAAGGAAAAGAGGACAAAAAUCCAAGGCCUCCUGAUGGACUUUUCCCGCUUCUUGGACAUUUAGUGAAUUUCCUCCAUUUUCCAGGUCAGCCUAAAAAGAUGCACACCUCCGACAGACAGCCACAGCUGGCACGUUUCUGAGAGAAAUGCCGAGAAAUGCUGGAUGGUCAGGCGUGGCAGAGAGCUACCCCACCAAGUUCCUCAGACCCUGGGCAUCGAAUGAAAAAGACCCCGAAAUUUCCGAUGAGAGAAGCAGAAGAUAACUGGGUUGACACAGAAUGUGCAUCGGCCUUGGCCCUGAGGACCUUCUGCUCUCCUGGUCACUGACUUUCGCGUACCACCUGGAAGCUGGGGUCCUCUUCACACCUCCAGGCUGACUCCUGGCUCACAGUGCAGUGAGGGGCCCUGUGUGGGAGGCUCCGAUCAGGAGGGCAGGCCUGCCCAGUGGACGCCGCUCUGUCCGGGCACCGAGUCAGUGUCUGAGCAUGUCAGCUGAGGACUUUCACAAACGUGCUUUUAUGAGGCUCAGUUUUAGAUUGGACCAAACUAUACAAAAUCAGCUAGAUGAAAAAUUCAGGCAGUCAACUGGCACUUUUGUCUAUAGAUCAGCAAAUAACCAGUUUGGAUGGUUAGAAAGUCAUAUGGAAAAAUAAUGAAUACAUUUUGUAUACUGAUUCAGAGUAAAAUACCAACUUCACUUGUUUUGUCACCAAUUUGAAUCAAAUCUUAAUUUUUGUGUGAUCCAUAAUGUAAAUGAGAUAAAUUUUUUGAUAAAAAUUAUUUUAGUAGUAAGAGCCUUGAAGAUGUUUAUAGCCUUAAUAGGAUCACUGUUCAUUGGAUCAAAAGCCGAGUUUCUUAAUCAGUUGUAUAUUAGGUUGUGACUGUCAAUGUAAAAUUUAUUGGUUACUUUGAUGAUAAUGAUUUGCAUAUUUAUGAGAUAAGAACAGGAAUUAUCUUAUUUAAAUACCAAUUGUUUUCUCUAAAAUGACAAAAAUAUCACUUAGCUUGUAACCUUCCAACAAGUUAUUUCAGCUUUAUAAAUAUAUAGAUAUGUGCAUAGAAACCAGUCUUUUCAAACGACUAGAUCAAGUUGAUUGGUAAUCAUUCAUCGUGAUGCUUGAAAAAGCAAUUGGCUGUCAAAAUGGUAUAACCAAUAAAUCAUGGAAUUGUGUAAAAUGCUAUGCUACAGUUCAGUGGGAUAUAAAGAUAAAAACUGUGCAAUAUGGUUCUUGACAUUGAAGAAUUUAUAAUCUACUUGAGAAGGACAUGUGGACACACGCAUGUAUACGCGCAAGAUUCUAGAUGACAAGCAAAUGUCGCAGUCAGAGAAG